UACGGAGGUGGCAAGCGUUGUUCGGAAUUACUGGGUGUAAAGGGCAUGUAGGCGGCUUAGUAAGUCCCAAUUGAAAUCCUUCGGCUCAACCGAAGAACUGGUUGGGAAACUGCUUAGCUUGAGUUUGGGAGAGGAGAAUGGAAUUCCCGGUGUAAAGGUGAAAUUUGUAGAGAUCGGGAGGAACACCAGUGGCGAAGGCGAUUCUCUGGCCCAUAACUGACGCUGAGGUGCGAAAGCUAGGGGAGCAAACAGG
rnacentral:rRNA from 1 species